UACGGGGGGGGCAAGCGUUGUUCGGAAUUACUGGGCGUAAAGGGCGCGUAGGCGGCUCGCUAAGUCGGAUGUGAAAACUCUGGGCUCAACCCAGAGCCUGCAUUCGAAACUGACGAGCUGGAGUUCUGGAGGGGAAAGCGGAAUUCCUGGUGUAGCGGUGAAAUGCGUAGAUAUCAGGAGGAACACCGGUGGCGAAGGCGGCUUUCUGGACAGAAACUGACGCUGAUGCGCGAAAGCUAGGGGGAGCAAACAGG
rnacentral:rRNA from 1 species